CUUUAACCCGGUCACGACGUGGGGAAGUUGCGCGCCGCUUUUUCUGCGUUGCCAUGGGGUUUUUCUAAAAACCCAUUGACGGCGACAGGGUCCCCGCUUUUAUUUGAGUCUGCCUUUGUGGAGGCGGAGGAAGAAACUGCUAUUACUUUUUUUCUUCUUCCAGGGACUGGGGGAGCGUCACAAGCAGCAUCCACGGGAGGAGGAGGGGUGGUUGGUCCACGGCGCAGACCAACUCACUGCGAGCUGAGCGCAACGCACUGCACAUCCAUCUGUUCUCCUUGGCUUUGGGGAUUGUAGCCAACUUUGUGGAGCGCUGCCUUGACGUGCACCUGAAGGAAAAUCCAUCACCAUUACCUCAGUGGGUAGCAACCAAAUCACAACAUAAGGUACCACGUCUUCAGUGCACCAGAGGCAUGAACUGAGGAGACAUUGGAAAGCACUCCUUUCUUGACGUCGAAGAUCGUUGAAAAUCAUGACAUUACAGAAGAGCGGGGGAAUCGUCGGCAUUCUUGCUCCAAUCACCUUUUUCUGUGCCUUCCAUACGACCACACCCAUUGAUAUUCCACUGGAAGUUUUAGGCCAUGUAAACAUUGAGCAGCUGCCCACCAUAACUUCCCAGUCACCGAGCUCCCUCAUCGCCUUCCCGUUUGAUGAGAGUUUCCCCAUGACGUGCGAGGCCAAAGGGAAUCCCGAGCCAGAAUUCAGAUGGAUGAGAAAUGGCCAGGAAUUCGACCCUUUUUUAGACCCCCGGCUGAUAAGAGAAGAAGCAUCUGGGACCUUUGUAAUACCCAAUAACGGGAACCUUACAGAGUACCAAGGAACAUAUCGCUGUUACGCCUCAAACAGACUGGGGACUGCCAUAUCCAAGGAGAUUGAGUUCAUUGUCCCAUAUGUCCCAAAGUUUCCAAAAGAAACUCUUGAUCCUGUUGUGGUGGAGGAAGGUCAGCCUUUUACCUUAAAUUGUGACCCGCCCAAAGGAAUACCCCCUAUUCAGAUCUACUGGAUGACUAUCAACCUCCAACACAUAGAACAGGAUGAGAGAGUGUCUAUGGGCUUGAAUGGAGACCUCUACUUCUCUCAUGCUGUGGAGAAGGACAGCAGGAGAGACUACUGCUGCUUUGCUGCCUUCCCGAGGAUACGAACCAUUGUUCAGAAGACAGCCAUGUCAGUCAUCGUCAAGACAAAAAAAAGUCAUGGCAUGAGUCCUGAAAUUGCCAAUGCCAUCCUACAGAGAAGACCCUUGCUUAUGACGCCCUCUGGUGUUAGAUCACAGAAACAGCUGGUCAAAGGAGAAGACUUGAAACUUGAGUGUAUACCUGAGGGAUUUCCAACUCCACAGGUCGAGUGGGUCAAAAUGGGUCACACGCUCCCAAGUAAAGCCAAACUGGAGAGUCAUGGCAAACUGCUGAUUGUAACAAGUGUUGAACAAGAAGAUAGUGGCAAGUACAUGUGCAAGGCUAAGAACAGACUCGGGGAAGUGGUCCAUUACUUCACCGUAACUGUUGAAGAGCCUCCAGAGUGGGUGUUUGAGCCUGAGAAUCAGCUCAGUAUGAUUGGCUCAGAUGUGCUCAUCAAGUGCUCAGCUACUGGGACUCCCCAGCCGACUAUAACUUGGAGAGUGAACGGCCUGCCUCUGCGUGAAGUCCCUGCAUCUAACAGGAAGGUUUUUGAUGACACCAUCAUCUUGCACAACGCCAAAGCGUCUGACAGUGCGGUCUAUCAGUGCCAAGCAUCCAACCGACAUGGGACCCUCCUGGCCAAUGCAAACAUCAUGAUUAUGAAUCUCCCCCCAAUGAUUCUUACUGAAGAAGGGGAAGAUUACUCUGCUGUUGAGGGGAGGAGAGCCAUGAUGCACUGCGAUGUCUUCAGCUCUCCACCAUCUACUAUCACUUGGAGUAAAGACGAUUCAUCGGAAUCUGUGGUUGGGCCAAGGGUUACCAUCCAUGACAAUGGGUCAUUGGAGAUUUACGCCACAGAAAAAGAGGACACAGGACAGUACACAUGUUACGCCAAAAACACAGAGGGGUCAUCUGCCAUUGAAGCCACACUUUAUGUUAAAGAUCCCACUAGAAUAAGAGUGGCCCCGGAAGACCAGCGGAUCUUAAUAGGCACUACAGCCCAGCUCUCAUGCCUGGCAGAAUACGACAAGUCCUUCAGCAACGACUUUGAGCUCCUAUGGGAAAAAGAUGAUAUGGACAUAGGCUUCAACUAUACUGACAAUUCAAGAUACUUUGUGGAGGACGGUAUGCUUCAAAUCAUCAAUGUAAGCCACUGGGACCAGGGUGUGUACACUUGUGUGGCAAGAACUCCAGUGGACCAGGACACAGCCUCUGUGUUGCUCAUGGUGUUAGACGUCCCUGAUGCACCCGAGCAUUUGGUACUGUCUGAACACAAGACCAAAAGUGUGAAACUGAAAUGGACUCCAGGGGACGAUCACAACAGCUCCAUCACAGAGUUUAUUAUUCAGUACGAGGAGAGCCAGUGGGAACCUGGAAAUUGGAAGGAGCUGCUCAGAGUACCCGGAAAUCAGGUUUCGGCCAUCCUCAAACUCCAUGGCCAUGUCAACUACCGCUUCCGUGUGGCUGGUGUUAACAGUAUCGGGAGGGGACGUCCCAGUGAGCCCACAGAGAGAUACAAAACCCCUCCAGCAGCCCCUGACAAGAACCCGGAAAAUAUCAAAAUCGAAGGUCAUUUGCCGCAUGAAAUGGAUAUCAACUGGCAGCCCCUGUUGCCAAUUGAGUACAAUGGUCCCGGUCUUGAGUACAAAGUCAGUUACAGACGGCAGGACUUGGAGGAGGACUGGAAAGAACACAUGGUGAAGAGACAUUCGUUUGUGGUGACGAACACGCCCACCUAUGUGCCUUAUGAAAUCAAGAUCCAAGCGAAGAACAACCAGGGCUGGGGCCCGGAGCCAAAAAUUGUGACUGGUUACUCUGGCGAGGAUUUUCCUUCCGCUGCACCUGAUGAUGUAGCUGUGGAGGUGAUAAACAGCUCGGUGGCCAAGGUCAGCUGGACCCGUGUACACAAAGACAAGUUGCAUGGACAUCUGGGAGGCUACAGGAUAAACUGGUGGCGUCUGCGCAGCCUGGUGGAUUCAAAUAAAAGUCACGGAGACAAACACACGCUGACAUUUCCUGGCGACCACAACCAUGCUACCAUACCCAGACUACAACCCUUCUCCGAGUACAGCCUCAUCGUUAUGACCUUCAACGGGCGUGGCAACGGCCCUGGCAGUCAUCCCGUCAAUUUCAAAACCCCAGAGGGAGUGCCUGAGAAAAAUCCUGCUUUCAGGGUGACAAACACACAGAAGCACUCUGUCUCCCUGGCUUGGGCACAGCCAACAGAGCCUAACGGGAUUCUGACUGGGUACCUGCUAGAGUAUCAGCUAAUUAACGACACAGAGGAAGUUGGGCCACUGCAGACUAUAGACAUCAGCAAACCCCAAACUACCAAGUGGACCCUCCGGGGUUUGGAACCUUUGAGCAAGUACAAGUUCUACCUGCGUUCCUGCACCACUGUGGGCUGUGGACCCAUUGUCAGUGAGGAAAGCACCACCACCCUUGAAGCAAGUCUCGCCAGCAUCCAUGGAGGAAUAUCUAACCAGGGCUGGUUUAUUGGCCUGCUGUGCGCCAUCGCUCUGCUCACACUCAUUGUGUUGAUUGCCUGUUUUGUCAACAGAAAUAAAGGAGGGAAGUAUUCAGGUAGGUAACGCACACACACACACAACCCUCCUUCUAUACUGAUAACACUUCCAUUUUAUAUAUGUUGCUAUGAAAACAAUCAAUCAUCCCAGAAGCUAUUACCCAAAACAAGCAUUUCUCCACAAAACAAUUUCAUUGUAAAUUUAUACAUAAUAUCAUAACAAAUAUGCUUGCGUAGUGAUCGGAAAUGACUUUUUCUCAUUUGAAUGUUGUAUUAUUUACACGCACAGAUUUUCUAGCAGCAUUCUAAGCAAAGUCCAACCCACAGUGAGACAAGAUGCAAAUGCUGGAUGUGCAGUUAAUGAUUACAUGAGCUUUGUGGUUAUCUCAGGCUUUGUUCCCCUCCCCUUCUCUAUUGGAAUCCCGAGAGGCCGUAAUUGCCUUUAUUAUUCACAGCUAAUGGCCAUCAGGUUGUUGUCUGGGCAGCAAUCGCUUCGCUCGUCAUGAAAAUAAAAGAGAGACACAGCUCAGUUCUUUGUUCUCUCAUUAAGUUCUUGUUAUAGUUGUCUGAAAUGGGUAUUGCUGGUGUAAAAAUACCCAUCCCCUGUGCCCAGUAUGACACACGGGUUACAGCUAAAUUACAGAGACAGACUUUUACAUCAAAUCCAGAUCUCACCUGUGUAGGUUUCAUACAGUGAGGAUGUAUGUUUGACUCUACCUUACAAAAUAGACAGAACCGCGAUGGGAGACCACGAGUUUCAUUUGCUGCUCUCUUGAGAAUCUGUCUUAACAUCGUCUCCUCAUUUUGUGAGCAGUAAAAGAAAAAGAAGACCUUCAUCCAGACGUGGAGUCCCAGGGUAUGAAUGACGACACUUUUUGCGAAUACAGGUAAGUGACACCCUCAGAGCAUUACUUUACAUUUCACUCUUAAAAGUCUUUCCUCCUCUCUUAGUUCUGCUCUUUAUUUCUCCCCUGUCGCUGCAAAGACAAUGUAACAUGCAUGAGGCUGACACGGAGCCCCAUACUUCUUCUGUGGAAGAAAUGUGAUGGUGCCGGGGAAUUGGAACGUACGUGAUAAACAGCAAUAUCAUCGUGAGCUGUGUGCACAUCAGUGUUGUUGCAGUGGUAGCUUCUAGUUCUCGUUUCUCGUUAGACACAAGGCGGUUUCUGACCAAUCAGCGCAAGGAACUUUUUGGAAAGAGCUAACAUACUGUUUUAUGUCCCCAGAAAGGCUUUCCUUUCGGGGAAUACUUUGUAUAUUAUGACUUCAACUUUUCAGACUUAUUCUGAAAUCAUGAUGACAGACCAAAAAGACGGCAAAUGCCAAAAUGUUCCUCAGACUGGAAGCCACGUUUCCAUCAACCGGUACAGUUUCAGCCUUCUACACUACGCUUCACAAUCCUCAUCUGGCUUGCGUUUUCACCGUGUGGAUUGAUAUCUGUGUCAAAUAUGUAUGCCUGACUUGCUGACUGCGAUUUUGGCCGAUAUCGAUUUCAAAAAAAUAACUGACAGCAGACACCUUCAAUGUUCCAGUCUUAUUUUGUUGGAAAACCAUACCCUUGAAACAAUACGAACGUGUUGUUUUAACUGCUUAUGAGUUCUCUCAAAUCUAAACGAAGAGAUUAGAACGUUGCUGCAUUUUAAAAACAAACAAAACUUGCACAACUGGUUACCCUGCAGACCUGAUUUGAGCCUCAUACUAAAAAUAAAUGGCACAGUGACCAAAAAGGGGUAAUGGGUCCAUGAUUCUCCUUAUAGUAGCUUUGCUCUUUUCACUGCUCAAAAGCACCUCAUGGCUCUUUGCUCCAGGUAGCUUUAGCUGUAGCCUUCAGCUUGAUCGCUCGCUGUCAGUCUGGAAGCUCAAAAAUGGACAGUGAAUGACGUUCAGACGUUUGCAGAAGUAGAGAAGCUUGUAUAAGAUCGGUUUGAUAUGUAAGGAUCGGCCAAUCGCCCAUCCCCCAAAAUUAAGUAAAGGGCGCAUCACGAUUGGUCCAUUUUUAGUGAAUAGCUCAACAUGCCCACGUAUGACUGCAUUUUGACUCUUAAAUAUGCAGGUAAGCAUUUUGUUGCAUUUCGCCGGUUUCAGUUUCUUUGCUGACCAUUAAGGCUGUGAUUGGGUGGCUUGUAGUGUAUCAUUUCCUGUAUGUAUACGACUCGUUCAGAGGGCGGACAGCCCACUUCUGUGAACGCCUGCUUUUUGUAUGUACUGACUGCUGGCACACAUCGACGGGUUUCAGCUGCAGUAACAGUCCCUUUCUCUCCUUUGCUCCUCACAGGACGCUAGCAAGCUAGGCCUAUGUCCACAUGAACACGGAUAUUUCUGAAAACACACAUUUUUGCCACGCCAGUCUUUAAAAAAUGUCCAUCCACACGAGUGGAGUUUUUUUUGAAAAAGCCUGUCCACAUAAAAACACAUUCAGCGGCUGUCGUGCAUUUUGUCCAUUCGGAAGCCUAAAAAAGCAACCAGCUGACUUGGUCGCCUGCCUGUAAUGCCUUUGUUCAUCAGUCCGGUGAGAUAUUAGAUCACGAUGACAUGAACAUUAUCUUUGAAAUUAGCGCUCGUUUACACGGAGCCCAGGAAACAUGAAUGUUUUUUUUAAUCGCCCGUGAGCGCCUACCGCUGCACAAAAUGAAACCAACACCCGCAUGUCAAUUACUUCGUGGUCUGUUAAAUGUUAAAUAAGGUUUGAAAACGUGAGAUAAUGUCGCACAUUUCUUAUAACAAAUACACAAAAGCUACAUGCAUUUGUAGCCUGUGGCAUGUUUUUUAAUGGCCUGAUGCAAAUGUACUACCAUUUUUUAUUCUUUUUCUAAACAAAACCAAAAUAUAGAAAUGUGCCCUCACCCCACCCCCGCAAUUCUUACAUUUUUUAAGUUAGCAGGGAGGCGUGGGACAGCGUACUUGUAAACUUGUAAACCGCCGGGGAAGUUAACUGAGGAACAUAAGAACUUGUACUUGUACUAAGUAGAGCUGAAACAAUUAAUCUAUUAUCCAAUUAAUCAACAACUAUUUUGGUAUUUGAUUAAAUUGGAUUUUUAAAGUAAAAAUGAAAAUAUCCUCAGAUUUCACCCUCUAAAAUGUGAAUAUUUUUUUAUUUCCUUAGUCAUCCAUGAAAGCAGACCUUUGUGUGUUUUGCUUGGUAAAUAAAGUGGCAGUCGUAAAUAAACCACAAAUAGUUGACAGCUCUAACAGUAAACAAUUCAUGUGCCAACUAUUCGUAUUGCUCCAAAACAUGCAUCAAAUUAAAUUCAGGUUUGUCUCCAAUAGUACAAAAAUUGUUUCACACAAAUAAAGAUAAACAAAAAAAGACAAUCCGCACAAAAGUGUAUUUUUUAAUAAUUGCCUAUUUGCCAGCAUCCUAAAUACAUCAUCCUAAAUACAUUGAACAGUCUACAGUUAAUCUAUGUGGUCGGUAUCGGCCGAUCCUGCUCAUGGAUGAUUGGUAUUGGAAUCGGCUGCAUAAAACCCUGAUUGGAGCAUCCCUAAUUUAUACCAGUGGUUCUCAACUGGUGGGUCGGGACCCAAAAAUGAGUCACUGGGCGGUUUUCAGUGGAUGUUAUGUAAUUAUGUCAUGUAUGUAAUUAGGUGUGACUCAAUGGCUGUGAAUGCACCUCCCGUUCUUGUCUGCGCUUUCGCUUGCUACGAGGUGCAUGUUAUGCUUCUGGGCACCUCCGUCAAUCUUGAGUGGGAGAGAAAGGACAUCGCGUGGAGACUUGCUGUGCUGUUCGUCCAACACACAGCUGCCAAUAACUGCUAGAGAAGAGCAUGCCAUAAAGAGGUCUCAGCACUGCAGCUCACGUUACGUUGAAAACAGGCCCUUAAAAUAUGAGAUAUAUUUGAAAAAUUCAUGCAAUUUGGAUCACCACUUGGCAAAUCAGUAGAGAACCACUGAUUCACACAAUCGCAUUAACUUGUCAUACUUAAGAUGGUGCUACAAGUACAUGUAAUUCCUGUAAUUCUAUGACUUUAUAUCACAAUAGUUCCUUCCUCAUAAUAAUUAUGAAUUUAUUCUCCUUAUUGUAGGACUUCACGCCUGUAGUGUUUGGUCUUUAUUACUGCCAUAAGUCGCAACUAAUAGAUAAUACAAAGACCUAAAAGAAAAAAGGUUUUAUUCUUCCCUUUCCAUUUGGAAAACUUUAUAACCCAGAGAACGCACAAUAAAUCGACGACAAAACCAAAGCGAAAUUGUACUACUUGGUGGAAAAGGGGCAGUUGUGAGAAGUCCUACUUCCUCGCACUAUGAAAAUGUCCCUUUGGUCGCAAGGCGCCGACAGCGUGGUGUGAGCAUUUGCAUACACACUGCAUCCUGACAGGAGCGCUGCCUUUAUUCCGAGGCUGUCAUUCCUGUUCUGGUGGCACUGGGCACAGACGCCCAGCACACAGCAGGAAGCUGAAAGCAAUCACUGUUUGGAAGUAGCUCUUCCUUUGGGCAGUAUUAUCUGUGCACGUUUCAUAAUCCUGUAGUGGUCUCACCCGAAAUGGACUACCAGCACUGCAAGGGUAGUAGUAUGAUUCCCCAAUCAACAGGAUCUACGCAGCACAACAGCAGCAAACGCGACAACGAUGAGAAGCCACUGAAAGGCAGCCAGCACUCUUUGAGCAGAGAGAUCAAAGCGGGUGAC